rnacentral:rRNA from 1 species
AUUGAACGCUGGCGGCAGGCUUAACACAUGCAAGUCGAGCGGGGUGAUGGUGCUUGCACUAUCACUUAGCGGCGGACGGGUGAGUAAUGCUUAGGAAUCUGCCUAUUAGUGGGGGACAACAUCUCGAAAGGGAUGCUAAUACCGCAUACGUCCUACGGGGGAAAGCAGGGGAUCUUCGGACCUUGCGCUAAUAGAUGAGCCUAAGUCGGAUUAGCUAGUUGGUGGGGUAAAGGCCUACCUAGGCGACGAUCUGUAGCGGGUCUGAGAGGAUGAGCCGCCACACUGGGACUGAGACACGGCCCAGACUCCUACGGGAGGCAGCAGUGGGGAAUAUUGGACAAUGGGCGGAAGCCUGAUCCAGCCAUGCCGCGUGUGUGAAGAAGGCCUUUUGGUUGUAAAGCACUUUAAGCGAGGAGGAGGCUACUAGUAUUAAUACUACUGGAUAGUGGACGUUACUCGCAGAAUAAGCACCGGCUAACUCUGUGCCAGCCGCCGCCGUAA